rnacentral:misc_RNA from 1 species
GAAGUAUGGGAGAAGCUCUCUGAGUGGAGGACCAGCAUUACCUCGGAAAAUGAUAUCUGUGGGAGAUGCCAAGCAACUUAGUGUGGAGGUGUUCCCGUUGUGUCUCAAUUUAUUUGAUACUAGAGAUAAAAGCCACAAGGCUUUACGGUUAAGUAAAAAGGCAUCUUUACAUGAACUCUAUACCAUAGUGUGUAGACUCAAAGAAAUUGCGCCAGAAAAGGCACACAUCUGGGAUUAUUUUGAAAAAACGAAGCAUACAAAGUUAGUUGCUUCAAACCAAACACUGGAGGACUCCAACCUGCAGAUGGAUCAAGAUAUUCUCCUGGAGGUGCAACCUGAAGGGUCACUGCCUUCUGGUUUUGGCUUCGAUUCAACAGGAAACGACUUGGCAUUGGUUCCAGUUGAACCUCUGAGAUCAUCUGUCACAAUUGCUGGUGGUCCAACAUUGUCCAAUGGUUUCUCUACUGGAUAUAGCUCCAAUGCAUAUCAAGGGAGUUCUUUGAACUCUAGUUAUGGCGAUAUGGAGGAUGGAUA